UACGUAGGUGGCAAGCGUUGACCGGAAUUAUUGGGCGUAAAGCGCGCGCAGGCGGUCCUUUAAGUCUGAUGUGAAAGCCCACGGCUCAACCGUGGAGGGUCAUUGGAAACUGGGGGACUUGAGUGCAGGAGAGAAGAGUGGAAUUCCACGUGUAGCGGUGAAAUGCGUAGAUAUCCGGAGGAACACCGGUGGCGAAGGCGGCUUCCUGGACCGACACUGACGCUGAGGCGCGAAAGCUAGGGGAGCAAACGGG
rnacentral:rRNA from 1 species